UCCCCUCCUUCCUCCCCAGUCCCCACCGCCGCCACGAACAACUACUCCGACACGAACUCUGCUCAAGCCCGCUCCCAUGGUUCCCGUCAUCGACAUGGACUCUUUGCCCGUUCCGCAAGCCGAAGGCACCACGACUCGAGUCCCUCGAUCGAAAUCCCAGGUCAGACCGGAUCGCGGCGGCCGGCGGCGCCACGACAGGUUGCUGGCCUGCAGUCCUACUCACGGGACAAGCUGCGUUCGCGGUGCGCUCUCGCUGCCCGCCGGCUUCGACGGUAUGGGCCGGGGCGCCGCCCUUCCGCAGAUCCGCAAUCGAGUCGUGCGUCCGGUCUGCCGCCUCCCCUCGACGUCCACGGCUCUGUGCUCUUCCGUGUUCUCUCCUAGCGCAGGCUGUGGGGGCGCUACGCCGCUCUCUGCCGGCUCCUCAUACAAGAGAGAUGGACAAACUGAGCCCUGUGGGAAACAAUUGCAUCAGCUCAGCGACGUCCAGCGUUUCUCCUCUCUACGUUUCUUUGCACGCCUCAUCUCCAAGCACGAAGCCACGGCGAGAUGGCCUGGUCUUGGUACUAUGUUGAUAGCGAGGGUGCAAGGCUCAAGGGAAGCAGCUGGUUCUGUAGUUCUUUGUAUGCUUAUGGUAUCUUGGAUGAGGGUUACAAAUUCAACAUAUCAGUUGAGGAAGCUGCUGAGUUAGCAUGGCGGGCUUUUAUCACGCAAUAUUCUGUGACAGAGCUAGUGGUGGCUAUGUUCCUGGUGGGCUUGACAGACCAGUUUUUAUCCGAAAGAAAGGCCUUUAGCGUGCGUUUGGAUCUGAAGAAACAAAGCAAGAUAUGGCUGUCAUUCCUCCUAACUUGGCUAGUUACUAGUAUCUCCUUGAUCAUUUGAUAAGGUAGUCUUGGCGAGUGUUUGGGCAAUAGAGAACAUAACUUGGCAAUUUAUGUAUAUGUUUACUGUAUUCAUUUAUUCAGGAUUAGAAGCUUAGGCCGUGUUUGGAGGCUCUCCACUCCCGGAGCGUCCGGAGCUGUAGUUAAAAAAUCAUUCUGCGGAGCUGGGGGAGUGCUGAACAGGGCCUUAAAUUCUGAACUUUAUAGUUCAGGAGUAGCUACCUCCUGAUGUACCGGUGUAAUUUAAUAGUUUCAUCGAAUGUAAAUCAGAAGUACUCCCUCCGUCCGGAAA